ensembl:lncRNA
GUUUCUCUCUUUUGACAGGCAACCUAAGAGAUCAAUUUUCUUCUUUCAUUGAUUUAAAAAAAGAAACGUGGAAAGAACUGAAAGGAUUUCCAUAAAUUUAAAAUAUGAUUAACAGUGGGAAUCCAGAAGCUGUAAAAUGGAGCACCAUAUGUGCCACAAGUGACUGCCAGGUAUCGAUGCCAGUCUGGCAUCCUUUGCAGUGUGAUUUGAUGAGAAGAAACAGUACAUCUAACAAGAAAAGCCACUUGCCUUGUUUCUUCUUUUAUGAUAGAAGAACUAUCUUUGGUGUUCUACCUCUCCUUUUUUUAAUCAGUAAGUAAAAUAAUGAAAACAAAAACCAUAUAUCUCAACUUUGUUCAUUCUUUUAACGUAGCGUUCAACUUAUUUCCAUUAGGGUCAUGUUUAUAGUUGAAUUUUUAGUUUAUUGUCAUAUAUUUCAUCCAAGCUAAUUAUGGCCACAGAAAAAUAAGACUGUCUGAAUUAGUAGAGAGCAAAGUUUCCAAUUAAAGUAUGUGUUUUUAAUUUUUUUGGCUGGGAUCACAAUAUGGUGCUAUUACACAUGGCCCUGGAUAUCAAUCUUCAUCUCCUUUUAGAUAUUUAAAUUAUUCUUAUUGUAAAAAGAAAUAUUGUGUUACACUGGAGUGUAUUUGAGAUUUUGUUUUUCUGAGAAUGUCUUUUAUAAGUACUUAUCUCAUUUCCAGGUCUGAGAUAUAGUUUCUUAGUAAAAUAAGUCUGCCAGAGAGUCUGCCUCACUGACUCAUUGGAAAUGGAAGCAGAUAUUUAAGUGUGCCAGGCGCACAGUCCUAUAUAGUUUUAAUUGGGGCUUUCUAGUUCAAAACUCAUGAAUAAAAAGGCCAAGUUUUUCCAUAUCUUUUAAUCAUUG